rnacentral:sRNA from 1 species
CAUUACAGAGUUAGGGUCUUUCAGGCCCGAUCUCCAACCCUAUGUGUACCUACCUUUGUUGCUUUGGCGGGCCCGCUGGGGUGACCCACCGGUGGCCUUUGGCUCCCGAGUGCCCGUCAGAGACCCAUUCAAAACCUGUUAAUUGUGCUGUCUGAGUACCAACAUAAUAAUUAAAACUUUCAACAACGGAUCUCUUGGUUCUGGCAUCGAUGAAGAACGCAGCGAAAUGCGAUAAGUAAUGUGAAUUGCAGAAUUCAGUGAAUCAUCGAAUCUUUGAACGCACAUUGCGCCUCUCGGUAUUCCGGGAGGCAUGCCUGUUCGAGCGUCAUUUCACCACUCAAGCCUUGCUUGGUGUUGGGCCCUCGUCCCCCGUGGACGUGCCCGGAAAUCAGUGGCGGCACAGCCCGGCUUCAAGCGGUAUCAAGUUUAUCUUCGCUUUGGAAGUUCGGUCCUGAGUCUGCCAGACAACCCCCCUCUUCUAUCAAAGGUUGACCUCGGAUCAGGUAGGGAUACCCGCUGAACUUAAGCAUAUCAAUAAGCGGAGGAAAAGAAACCAACAGGGAUUGCCUCAGUAACGGCGAGUGAAGCGGCAACAGCUCAAAUUUGAAAUCUGACCCUUUCAGGGUCCGAGUUGUAAUUUGCAGAGGAUGCUUCGGGUUCGGCUCCGGUCUAAGUUCCUUGGAACAGGACGUCAUAGAGGGUGAGAAUCCCGUAUGUGACCGGCCGCCACGCCCGUGUGAAGCUCCUUCGACGAGUCGAGUUGUUUGGGAAUGCAGCUCAAAAUGGGUGGUAAAUUUCAUCUAAAGCUAAAUAUUGGCCAGAGACCGAUAGCGCACAAGUAGAGUGAUCGAAAGAUGAAAAGCACUUUGGAAAGAGAGUCAAACAGUACGUGAAAUUGUUGAAAGGGAAGCGCUUGCAACCAGACUUGCCCGCGGGUGAUCAACCGGUAUUUUUACCGGUGCACUCGCCCGUGGUCAGGCCAGCAUCGGUUUGGGCGGCUGGAUAAAGUCCACUGGAAUGUAGCUCCUCUCGGGGAGUGUUAUAGCCAGAGGUGCCAUGCAGCCCGCCCGGACCGAGGACCGCGCUUCGGCUAGGAUGCUGGCGUAAUGGUUGUAAGCGACCCGUCUUGAAACACGGACCAAGGAGUCUAACAUCUAUGCGAGUGUUUGGGUGUCAAACCCAUGCGCGUAAUGAAAGUGAACGGAGGUGGGAACCCUCAAGGGUGCACCAUCGACCGAUCCUGAUGUCUUCGGAUGGAUUUGAGUAAGAGCAUAGCUGUUGGGACCCGAAAGAUGGUGAACUAUGCCUGAAUAGGGUGAAGCCAGAGGAAACUCUGGUGGAGGCUCGCAGCGGUUCUGACGUGCAAAUCGAUCGUCAAAUUUGGGUAUAGGGGCGAAAGACUAAUCGAACCAUCUGCUACUAGAUGGCAUACGGGCCGGGUGCCCCAGUAGUCCCCGUGCGGCGGGGGCGACAUCGUCGGUCUCUUCGGGAACGCCUCCGGGCUACCCGCAGUGAGCCUCGGGCUCAUCCACAGACUAAGUGGCGGUGGCCGUGCCCUGGAGCACGGUUAGGAUAUAGUCGAUUCCGUCCCUGAAGGGGCGGUCUGGCAGAGUAGCUGGUUCCUGCCGAAGUUUCCCUCAGGAUAGCAGUAACGUCUUCAGUUUUAUGAGGUAGAGCGAAUGAUUAGGGGCCUUGGGGUUGAAACAACCUUAACCCAUUCUCAAACUUCGAAUAUGUAAGAAGUCCUUGUUACUUAGUUGAACGUGGACAUUUGAAU